UUUUAAAAAAAAGAAGGGCAAAGUAAGAGUGUCAAUAAGCCGAACACAAGUGAGCUGGAUCGGCUUGUGUUCGGCUCAUUUAAAUAUCGAGUCAAAUACGAGUUGACUUAUUAAAGUAUCAAGUCAACAAAUUCAACUUAUAUUCAGCUCGUUAGUAAAUGAACCGAACACGAGUCGGUUCACGAGCUUGCCAACGAACAAUAAGUUAAACAAAUUAGAAUGAAUAUAAUGGUUACAACUUUAUAAAUAAAUAAAUAUAUAUACAUAAUAUAAUUAUUUAUAUUUAUUUAAAUAUAUAUAAAUAUAAAUUAUAUAAAUAUAAAAUAUAUGUAUUCGAGUUGUUAUCGAGCCGAAUACAAUCGAGCUGACUCUAGCUCGUGUUCGGUUCAGUUUAUUAAACGAGCUGAAAAAUUCAGCUCGUAUUCAGUUCAUUUACUAAAUGAGCGAUUCGAUCUCGAGUUCAUUUCGAGCCGAACAAGAGCUGGCUCGCGAACAGCGAGCUGGAUUGCCACCCCUAUGGCAAAGGGACUAAAUCAUUAUACUA
rnacentral:lncRNA from 1 species